GUGGGGAAUAUUGGGCAAUGGGCGCAAGCCUGACCCAGCAACGCCGCGUGAGGGAAGAAGGCUUUCGGGUUGUAAACCUCUGUCCUUGGUGACGAAACAAAUGAAGGUAGCCAAGGAGGAAGCCCCGGCUAACUACGUGCCAGCAGCCGCGGUAAUACGUAGGGGGCGAGCGUUGUCCGGAAUUACUGGGCGUAAAGGGUGCGUAGGUGGCCUUUUAAGUUGGAUGUGAAAUACCCGGGCUUAACUUGGGGGGUGCAUCCAAAACUGGGAGGCUAGAGUGCAGGAGAGGAAAGCGGAAUUCCUAGUGUAGCGGUGAAAUGCGUAGAUAUUAGGAGGAACACCGGUGGCGAAGGCGGCUUGCUGGACAGAUACUGACGCUGAGGUGCGAAAGCGUGGGGAGCGAACAGGAUUAGAUACCCUUGUAGUCC
rnacentral:rRNA from 1 species